rnacentral:rRNA from 1 species
GACGUAGGGCGCGAGCGUUGUCCGGAUUUAUUGGGCGUAAAGAGCUCGUAGGCGGUCUGUUGCGUCGGGAGUGAAAACUUACAGCUUAACUGUGAGCGUGCUUUCGAUACGGGCAGACUUGAGGCAUUCAGGGGAGAACGGAAUUCCUGGUGUAGCGGUGAAAUGCGCAGAUAUCAGGAGGAACACCGGUGGCGAAGGCGGUUCUCUGGGAAUGUCCUGACGCUGAGGAGCGAAAGUGUGGGGAGCGAACAGG